UUGAAACACCGGUUCCUGUACACUCACCAAAGUUAAACAAUGUUAAGCCUGAUCAGUAUUUAGAUGGCUGACUGCUUGGGAAUACCAGGUGCUGGAAG